AUGGCGCCAGGGAAACGCCGAUGGAACAACGUAUGUGUGCCGACGCAGGAGCCGGCGCCGGCAAUUGCCUCGGCGUUCACGCUCCCAGCCGAUCUCCUCCUCGAGAUCGUGGCACGCACCGACGUUUUCACCAUUGUCCGCUGCGCUGCCCUCUGCAAGUACCUCUGCCUCACACCUGCCACCAUGUCCUUCUGCCAUGACCGCCUCUCACCCUUCAUGUCACGUUGCGAUGGCAUCGGCUGCUCCUUCAUGUUGCUUUUCUUCGAUCUCAACCUUUUAAGGAGCAUCAAAUUACACACCACCACAUCUUCCUCUGGUACCUGGGGGACCCUCACUACUGACAACAGCCACCCUGACUCUCUAUGGUGGUCAAUUCGUGACUACAACCGCCCCGCAGUCCUCCACGGCGGCGUUCUCCACUGGCUAGCAGACCACGGCAAACAAACCCUCUCCUACGACGUCAGGACGAGGAUGUCGGGACUUGUGAAGCUCCCACCUACCAACUGCAGUGGAAACCAAUUCCAAUUGGCGACGUCGUCACACGGGAACGUAUUGAAACUGAUCACUCUAGAUGGGUUCAAGAUAUCCAUGUGGCUACACCAUCCCCCCGUCCUAGCAGGUGGAGGUGGUGUUGGUGGUUGGGUGCUGGAAAGUGUGAUCGACGUAGAGGAGAAGCUGCGGCCAUUGUACCCAGACCUUCCUGUUGAAGGUGGGACUGAUGUACUAGUUGAGCUUAACGGAUCCGGAAAGAGGAACGGAGACGUGGUUGUAUAG
rnacentral:rRNA from 1 species